UACGAGUGCUCCAAGCGUUAUCCGGAAUUAUUGGGCGUAAAGGGUGUGUAGGUGGUCGUGUUAGUCUUCUGUUAAAUUCUUCGGCUCAACCGGGGUCCUGCGGAGGAAACGGCACGACUAGAGGGUGCGAGAGGCAUGCGGAACUCAUGGUGUAGGGGUGAAAUCCGUUGAUAUCGGAAGGAACACCUGUGGCGAAAGCGGCUCACUGGACCAUUACUGACGCUGAUGCACGAAAGCUAGGGGAGCGAACGGG
rnacentral:rRNA from 1 species